GCUAAACCAUUCGUAGAUGACCUGCUUCUGGGUUGGGGUUUUGUAUGCAGCAGAGCAGCACCCUUGCUGUGAUCUAUUGAAAGUCAGCCCUCAACACAAGGGUUU
rnacentral:ncRNA from 1 species